rnacentral:tRNA from 1 species
GGAGGUAUAGCUCAGAGGUAGAGCAUGUGCUUAGCAUGCACUAGGUCCUGGGUUCAAUCCCCAGGACCUCCA